rnacentral:rRNA from 1 species
UACGUAGGGGGCAAGCGUUGUCCGGAUUCAUUGGGCGUAAAGAGCGUGUAGGCGGCCAGGUAGGUCGGUUGUGAAAACUGGAGGCUCAACCUUCAGACGUCGGCCGAAACCAUCUGGCUAGAGUCCGGGAGAGGAGAGUGGAAUUCCUGGUGUAGCGGUGAAAUGCGCAGAUAUCAGGAAGAACACCGGUGGCGAAAGCGGCUCUCUGGAACGGGAUUGACGCUGAGACGCGAAAGCGUGGGGAGCGAACAGG